CAACAGAGGAUAAAAGCCUAUUCAUUGAAGUGCAGCUAGAAAUGAUUUCUAAUUGGCAUGAAAGAAUCCUUAAAUCUGUGUACCACUUCUAACAUUUGGGGCUUAAAUUACAGCUAAUAGUUGCCAUAAAAGAGGCAACAGGAGAAAUGCUAAAAUUCAGACUCCUGUCCCUCCUGCCUGUCUACUUUGCAUCAGCCUUCCCUCUUCACACGUAUUGCUUAUUGCUUGCAGGUUUGGCCAAAACUGAGUAAGUUUUAACGUUAAGAUAAGCAUUCAUUCAGUAAUCAGAAGCGGAUGAAUGUGCACAGUCAUAUUCUUCAGAUCCUUUUCUCCUAAACUAUUCUGCACAAAGCAUGGAAAUAGGAAUAUCUUUGCUCAUUGGCCUGGAGCAGCAGUUUGUGGCGGUGUCUGGAGGUGAAUAUUAAUGAGCAGUGACACCUGAGCUUCUCAGCACUUUAAUUACAGGUGAGACGCUCAGAGUUAAUGUUGUCACUCUGGAGUGGUUUUAGCCGUACUGACAGGUUUCUCUCUAGGUCAUUAAAUUCCCUUUUGCUUUAUUAAUGCUUUAUUUCUGUGCAAACGUUUUCCUUGGAACUUAAAAGUCAGCUCAGUUACCGCACCGCAAAGGAUGGGUGGCACCCAGCUGAGCGUGGAUGAAACCUGCUCUUGUGUGAGGCAUCUGUAGGAGCACCAGUCGUCC
rnacentral:lncRNA from 1 species